rnacentral:tRNA from 2 species
GCCCCGGUAGCUCAGCUGGAUAGAGCAGUCGCCUUCUAAGCGACGGGUCACAGGUUCAAGUCCUGUUCGGGGUGCCA